rnacentral:lncRNA from 1 species
GGAGUUUUCGGAGUCCAAAAUGGCUUGAAGUUGCUAGAACAGAAUCUUUCAAAGACUCAUUUAGAAGUCCUUGAAAUUCGCCGCCUUCAUGUAAUAUUCUAGAAAAAUGGGACCUAGCCGCGUGAGGGAUAAGAGCUAUUUAGUCCGUUAUCCUGCCUCCAAAGUACUUCAAAGUGAAAAAAUAAAAGUAGGAAAGCAAAAAUAUACCUAAUACCACUGAGGGAAAUUUUUAAAGGUAAAUAUGAACAAGAGCUUGUUGAAUACCUAUUGUGUCCUAGAAACUGCCAGGAGCGCUGAAAAAAGAGGACAUCAAAGAUUAUUUUUUAAAGUUUUUGUUUAUUUAUGGCUUUUUUUGAGAUGGAAUUUCGCUCUUGUAGCCCAGGCUGGCGUGCAGUGGCGCCAUCUCGGCUCA